GAGCGACAGAACUUGCUAAUUCGGAUAAAUCAUCAGUCAGUCUUUGUUCAGCACCACCCAGUCGAUUGUCUAAAGCAGAUACUCUGUAAUAAGUCUGCUGACUCAAGUACAUUUUGUACGCAUACUGGACAAGUCUUUCUCUUUGGAUCGUAUAAAUUACCUGAAAGAAAGCGCAAGUCUGCCUUCAAGAUAGCGGAUGGCAGAAUUGACAAAGGUUGCCGGAAAUGCAAUAGCGAACCAGCGUGCAAGCAUUAAAAAAAAACCACGAACAUCUUUUAAGACAAUUCUCUUAACAAUUUGGCCUUCAAGUGUGGCAACGUAAACAGACAAAAAUGUUCUUGCGAGCAGAGUUAUCGUCGCACAAGUUAGCAGACCAGCUUCUUUGGACCGCCAUCCAGGUACCAUUAUUCUCAGCAAUUGUAAUAAUUGUUUGAUAAAUGUUUUAUCCAACCCCGCAUUGGCAACUUUAUUAUUAUUGUUGUUAUUAUUAUUAUUAUUUUUAUUUUUACUAACAGAUUUAUUAUUGCAGCAUUUGUUGUUCUGACAUUUAUCAACUCCAUUUUCUUUGCUUUUAUUAUUGUUACUGUUAUUACUGUCAUUAUUGUUAUUUUCUAGUUUACGUUUAACUCGGACUAAAUGGGGAUAAGUUAAUUUUAGUAAAUAUAGUGUUGUGACAACACCAACAACACCACGAGUCAGUGUCUCCUGUCUUAUUCCACAUGUAGAUGAGGUUUUAUUUAUAAGUUUUGAAAAUACCGACGACAUUAUUUUAAAUUAACUAAAUGUCAUCUGACAUCUGGACAGCACAGACAAUUAUAAUUUAAAAACUUCUUUAUAUAUAAGUGAUUUUAUAUUUAUGAGUCAUCAAGUAAUGAAAAAUUUUGUUGUCAAUUCAAAAACAAUAUUGAUUAUAAAUAUAAUAUGAUAUUUAUUCCGGCAAACUCAUGUGGCAAGAGCAUGACUCUAUCAAAGCUGUUGAUAUAAACACAUUUAAAACGACACACACGAAUCGGCAACCAGCUGGCAACUGUACUAGUCUUCUCUUACUUAAACUUUUAUUCCCACUCUUCUCAUACUACAAGUGAUUCUCCUCUUACUCCACCAAACCUCUCAACAAUCCUAUCCUAUCCUCUAUGCUUUUUACCAACGAUAAUAUCCAACACUUACAUCCAUCCUCUGACUCUACUCCGAUUCUGAUACAAUUUAUGCUCCAUUCUCUACACUAUUCAUACUAGUAUAUAUAACAUUACUGUUACUUUUUUAUCUUUAUACAUAUUUAUAUAUAUCUAUAUAUAUAUAAUGAGGAGUCAUAAGUUUUUAUACUGGACUUGGAUCUGUGGUACCGUCAUUGCACUCGCCCUUGCCCUCUUAUCUUUAUAACAUGUGAUCUUUGUUUGUUUUGUAGUUAUCAUCAUCAUCAUCAUCAGAAUAUUGAAGAAGAAACGACGAUCAUUGUUUGAUAAUAUUUUGAAAAUAAAUAAUAAAUAUAUGAGUGUGAAUGUAGUAGACAUUUGUCAAUUGGUGCAAUUUUUAAAUAAAUAAACAGAAUAAAACUUAAAAAAUGCGGAUUUUUGAAUUUUAAAAUUGGCGCGCGCCUUUUUUAAAAUUUUAUUUUUUCAUUUGUAAUUUGAAAUUUGUCGGGUAUCUGCAACACUCACAUUCAUCUGAGACAAUUUUUAAAUUUAAAAUAAAUGAAUUUAUUUAUUAAAAUAAUGAAAUUUUAAAAAGCGCGCGCCGAUUUUUAAAUUAUCUAAGUAAUGAUACUAAAGUUAACAGACGUAUAAUAAUUUUUGGAAUUUUUUUUUAGACGAUAAACCAUAAAAAAAAAUAUUUGAAAAAAUUGCACCUGUAGUUUUUAAAAUUUUCUACAUGUGCAUAUUUUUAUUUUAUUUUUUUGCAAUUGAUUUGUUAAAAACAAAAAAUUCAAAAAUUUUUAAACGUCUGUUAACUUCAGAAUCAUAUCUACGUACGCAUUUUUAAAAAAUUUUAAAAACUGCCAAAUGUCAGCGACAUUCACACUCAUAUUAAACUUUAUAAUAUCAGGAUAAGUUUAUUAAUAUCAAUCAAAUAUAUAAGAAUGCAUAGCAGAAAAAUGAGUUGCAUUACAUAUGAAGGAUUUAAUUGCCGCAAUGAGUUUCCAGAAACAAUAAAAAAUAAGCAGAAGAAAAUUUCAAAAGACUGAAAGACGUUAAAAAUUUGUGUCAAUGAAAUGAUUAAAAUAUAAUUGGAUUAAAAGAUUAUUUAUUGUACUUAAAAUAGCCGAGCUAAAUAAACAAUGUUAAUACUUAAUGUAAGUAUAUAUACAAGAAUAAGUGUAAUGUUAUAUACUUUGGGCUGGUUAUCUGUAGAGGAUGAUAUAUAAUACGUGUAUAUUGAUUUAUAAAAUGAUUCAUGAACUUGUCUCAGUAUUUAUGCAGUCAAAUGAAACUAAUGAGUGAAAAAAAUAAUUGCACACGUCAUAGCUCACUUUUGAAUAUUAAUCAAAAAAUAUAUACGCCAGAAGAAUCUUUAAUAUAUGUAGUCUUUAAGUGGUACAAUCGAUUACCGAAUAUAAUAAAAAGGAAUAUUGAUAUAAAUUAACGAUAUAUUUGUACUAAAAGUUGACUUUAUUGUAAAUUAAAAAAAAAUUAAUGCAGUGUCUACGCUAAAUAAACACACGAUUAUUAAUAUAUAAAUUACAUUUUCCUCAUAAUAUCAUCGGCAACAAAAAAAAAAAAAAAAACUCUAGACUAUUUUGAAAUUACUCUCAACAAAAAUUGAUCUGAUGACUCUGUCACUGUCCAUCAUUAUCUAAUCAGCUUGUGUAUGUAACUUGUAUUACAUAUACACAUUUAAAUAAUACCAAGAAUAUUACGUCUAUAUUUUUUGUUUUAUUUUUUUAAUAAAUUCAUCGAUUUGUAAUAUUGUCAUUGCAAAAAAUUCAAAAAAAAGUUAAAAGACCUCGGUGAUUUAUAAUUUAUUAAAUAAUAAAUUUAAUGUUUGGUAAUAAAAUAUAUAAUAUCAGGGAAAGUGUAAACGGCUUUCGGCAAAAUGCACUUCUGAUCACACACGAUCACCAUCACUUAAAACUUGUAGUUAUUUGUAUUUAGUAUAUCUAUAUAUGUAACUGAGAAAGUAAAAGUCGUUCAAUGAGUGAAAGAGUAAAUGAGAAAAUGAAACAAGACGUUUUUUUUUAUUUUUUAAACUCGGGUACUUGUAAUCAUCGACACUUUCAUUUCUCUUGUGUUACGGAAUUACUUAAUACUUUUUUUUUUUAAACUGUGUAAAUAAUUUAUUUAAAUACUUGACUCUAAAAAUAUGAUAACAAGCAUCGAUGGUAUUGUUCGCAGUGAUUACGAGAAAUCAUUAGAAGUAUUGAUAUCAGCGGGACGUCAAUUCGCAGAAUGACCGUCCGAUAUUAAAAAUCCAUAAAUUUAUACGGCAUCAAAUAUAUAUAUGAUUGCGGCUGAUCAUUUUCUCGAAUAGUCAUGCAGCCAUGAACGGACGUAAGACACCAGGAAGUCGGUUGUCAUAGAGACACGCGAGCUUCUUUCAACCGCAGUUGAAGAAACGGUUUAACUGCAUCAGUAAAACUCGAUAAAUUUCUCAUUUUUAUUUAUUUAUUUUCUUCCUUAUCUUUUUUUUUAUCAUCGCAAAUCUCUCAGCAAUAUAUUGUAAUUUAUUAUUAUUAUUAUUAUUAUUAUUAUUAUUAUUUUACACUCAGUAAUUACAACGUUAUGUACACACUUUCUCUUUUUUUUGUCUUAAAUACAAUAGAAUAUCAUACAGUUUACAAUAAAAAAAAAUUUUAACGGCUAAUUUACAUAAUCAGUAUUCACAUCUCGCCAACACAACGUCAGUGGUAAUGUACAUUUUUAUUAAAAAUUUUUA